rfam:Pteropus alecto contig47909, whole genome shotgun sequence.
GCACUCACUUCGGCAGCACGUAUUCUGAAAUUGGAACAAUACAAAGGAGAGGAGCAAGGCCCCUGCUCACGAUGACGUGCACAUCUGCGAGGCAUUCCACACAUUC